AUUAAUAACCGAUGCUUGGUUUUAAUUUAAUUGAGUUUAAUAUUAUUCUUUGAGUAAUGUUAAAAAUUUGAGAAUUCUUAACACGAUUCUUUAAAUUCAAGCUUAAUAAUUUGAGUAUAAUUUAUUAUACUUAGAUGAUGUUACGCUAAUAGUUAAAUUCAAUAGUUAUUAAUAAGUUUUAGCAUUUAUUUGCUCUAACUUUUAUUAUUAUUGGGUUUUAUCAAGCUAUUAAGUUUAAAAUAUCACCGUAAAGUUAUUACGUAAAUAAAAUUAAAUAAGUUACUUAUUUAUUAAAU
rnacentral:misc_RNA from 1 species